CCCCCCCCCCUCGGUCGCCGGUCGCCGGCCACCAGAUCCUGGCCGCCGGCCACCAGAUCCAUCCGCGGCCGCCGGCUACAAAAUCCUAUCUCAGACCUCCACCACUCCCUUCUGCCAUCUCGAAUCUCUUCCGACCUCCACCGCUGCCUGCUCCCACCUACGUCCGCGAGCGCCGCCCACCCCCUUCUCCUCCGACCUACACGGACGCCGGCUGCCCCCACCUCCGUCAACAAGCGACGCCCACCUCCCUUCUCUUCUGACCUCCUCCGGCGCAACCUGCCAACACACCUCUGUGCACGAGCGCCGUCCUCCUACCCUCCCUUCUCCUCUGACCACCACCACCUCCAUCCAUUUUCGUAACUCAUGCUCCCUCCUCUCCCUUUUGUCCAGGCCAGCAGCUUCGUUUUGGUGUGGUUCAAACAACGGAUUCUAAUCUGCACCGGAAAAUUCUGCUCUGUUUUUUUAGCAGAGAUACUCUGCUUUCUUACUGCAAUCUCCCUGCCACUUCAACAUGACUGGAAGCAAGAAAAGGUAGCAACGAUGGUGAGAGCAAAUGUGCUUCUGGAGGAGGAUCUCACAAGUGUACCUGCACUUCAACUAAUUAUUGACACUCUUAUGGUAUGUUGGAUCUCUUGUUGCAUUCAAUGUUAGUGGAAUGUGAUGGAUGAGAAACAGGGAAGAUAUAUGUAUGUAGGUGUUGUUACUUAUCAUGAACUUGUAUGACUUAGAAAUUCAUGUAAUUUGUGUUAAAUUGUACUGACAUGUGCAGUGUGCUGGAUGCAAAUUACAGUGGCGAUCUCAUGUAUUUGUGGCACAUUUAUUACCCUCUUUUGGGCAAGUCUGUAUAUGUCAAUUAUCAUUUGUUGGAACAUGUUUUAGUGGAUUGUUACAA